AUACGGAAGGUCCGGGCGUUAUCCGGAUUUAUUGGGUUUAAAGGGAGCGCAGGCGGAGAUGCAAGCGUGACGUCAAAUUUCGGGGCUCAACCCCGUCUCGCGUCGCGAACUGCGUCCCUUGGUUGCGGGAAGGGGAGGCGGAACUCGUGGUGUAGCGGUGAAAUGCAUAGAUAUCACGAGGAACUCCGAUUGCGCAGGCAGCUUACUAAGCUACUACUGACGCUCAGGCACGAAGGCGUGGGGAUCAAACAGGAUUAGAUACCCUGGUAGUCCACGCCGUAAACGAUGGGCGCUCGUCGUCGGCGACAGACAGUCGGCGGCCAAGCGAAAGCGAUAAGCGCCCCACCUGGGGAGUACGGUCGCAAGGCUGAAACUCAAAUGAAUUGGCGGGG
rnacentral:rRNA from 1 species